UCCGGUUGAUCCCGCCGGAGGUUACUGCUAUCGAGGUUCGACUAAGCCAUGCGAGUCGAAUGUAGCAAUACAUGGCGUACUGCUCAGUAACACGUGGACAACCUACCCUUGAGACGGGGAUAAACCCGGGAAACUGGGUAUAAUACCCGAUAGAUCUCGACUGCUGGAAUGCAUCGAGCUCCAAAGCUCCGGCGCUCAAGGAUGGGUCUGCGGCCUAUCAGGUAGUAGUGGGUGUAGCGUACCUACUAGCCUACGACGGGUACGGGUUGUGAGAGCAAGAGCCCGGAGAUGGAUUCUGAGACACGAAUCCAGGCCCUACGGGGUGCAGCAGGCGCGAAAACUUUACAAUGCUGGAAACAGCGAUAAGGGGACCUCGAGUGCCAGGUUACAAAUCUGGCUGUCGUGAUGCCUAAAAAGCAUUGCAUAGCAAGGGCCGGGCAAGACCGGUGCCAGCCGCCGCGGUAACACCGGCGGCUCGAGUGGUAACCGUUAUUAUUGGGUCUAAAGGGUCUGUAGCCGGCCGGAUAAGUCUCUUGGGAAAUCUGGCAGCUUAACUGUCAGGCUUUCAGGAGAUACUGUCUGGCUCGAGGCCGGGAGAGGUGAGAGGUACUUCAGGGGUAGGGGUGAAAUCUUGUAAUCCUUGAAGGACCACCAGUGGCGAAGGCGUCUCACCAGAACGGACCUGAUGGCAAGGGACGAAAGCUAGGGGCACGAACCGGAUUAGAUACCCGGGUAGUCCUAGCCGUAAACGAUACUCGCUAGGUGUCGGCCACGGUGCGACCGUUGUCGGUGCCGUAGGGAAGCCGUGAAGCGAGCCACCUGGGAAGUACGGCCGCAAGGCUGAAACUUAAAGGAAUUGGCGGGGGAGCACCACAACGGGUGGAGCUUGCGGUUUAAUUGGAUUCAACGCCGG
rnacentral:rRNA from 1 species